rnacentral:rRNA from 1 species
CUUGAACGCUGGCGGCAGGCCUAACACAUGCAAGUCGAACGAGGGGCGGACGGGUGAGUAAUGUCUGGAAAACUGCCUGAUGGCGGGGGAUAACUACUGGAAACGGUAGCUAAUACCGCAUACCAUCAGAGGUGGCCAGAUGGGAUUAGCUUGUUGGUGGGGUAACGGCUCAACAAGGCGACGAGCCCUCGCUGGUCUGACAGGAUGACCAGGCAACCUGGAACUGAGACACGGCCCAGACUCCGACGGUAGGAAGCAGGGGGGAAUAGGGCACAAUGGGCGCAAGCCUGAUGCAGCCAUGCCGCGUGUAUGAAGAAGGCCUUAGGGUUGUAAAGUACUUUCAGCGGGGAGGCGUUACCCGCAGAAGAAGCACCGGCUAACUCCGUGCCAGCAGCCGCGGUAAUUC